UCGAGAAUCUUCCGCAAUGGGCGAAAGCCUGACGGAGCGAUGCCGCGUGCGGGAUGAAGGCCUUCGGGUUGUAAACCGCUGUCAGUGGGGUGGAAAUUAAUUGGGGUUCUCCCCAUUUAUUGACCUAACCGCAGAGGAAGUCCGGGCUAAGUACGUGCCAGCAGCCGCGGUAAUACGUACCGGACAAACGUUAUUCGGAAUCACUGGGCUUAAAGAGUGCGUAGGCGGCCCAGCAGGUGAGAUGUGAAAUCCCACGGCUCAACCGUGGAAUUGCGUUUCAAACCGCUGGGCUUGAGGGAGACAGGGGUGAGUGGAACUGAUGGUGGAGCGGUGAAAUGCGUUGAUAUCAUCAGGAACACCAGUGGCGAAGGCGACUCACUGGGUCUCUACUGACGCUGAG
rnacentral:rRNA from 1 species